GGCAAGCGCGAUGUAACCUGAAAUGGAAUUAGAUGCGAUUAAAAGGCAAUAAAAACGCAGGCCCUCUCGAUACUUUUAUUGAAACAUUGCGAGUCCACAUAUAUGAACGUCCGUGCGCGCUCGGUCCCCUGCACGCCGUUAAGCCGUCACUCUCAUUCAAGCCCGCGUGAAUUAUAUUGAACAUUGUCUACUCCCCAAAACCAUAAAAGCAACUUUAUGGAGCUCACGUGACUUUGCCGCGACUGUUGUAUGUCAUAUAGGGCCUUUACAAUCUUUGCAAAGAGGGAUUUUUUUACUUGUACUCGCUUAUAAGCCAAUCUCUGCUUCUCUUUUGAGGAAGUUUCUCGAGAUAGAAUCGUGGAAAACACGCGCGGGGACGUUUUACCACAACAAGUCACAUACCUGCCUGGAUGUCAGAAUGCAGGAUGAUGCCUUGGCCUUUGAAGGAAGCGGCGUCGAAGCGUCGAGCUGUGGCGAAAAGUCACGCUGCAGCAGCUGGCGGAUGUGCUCGACCAGGCCCAGGUCCAGCAGCAGCUUCUUCCUCUGGAUCAGCGCCUUGACCCG